CAAGGGUCUUUGAGUCCAACUCCUGGCCCUGCACAGGAAAGCCCCAAAAAUCACCUGAGAGCAUUGUCCAAACACUGGCUGAUCUGUGCCAGAGCUCAAGAUCCUCAGCAGCUCUUCUUCACUGAGACCAUGCCAUGAAAGCAAGGUGGCCUCAAGCAGCCUCCAAAGUUAUCCAGGUCCUCACCUGAUGAUGAGCAGCUGAGCCUUCUUCCCUCCCAGUCCCCGAGAUGUUCAUCAUACUUAAGAAACAGAGAAGUUCCCCAGGAACGUCAAAGGGAUUUUAAUAAUAUCUGCAGUAAGGACAAAUGUAAGUACCUGAACACGGGUUUUCCUGGCUCUCACACCAAGUCCAGUAAUGCUCAGCUCACAGAGACCUCUUUCAACUUGCUCUUUAGACAUCAGGGAGGGUUUUAGGAAUGUAAAGUAAAUUUGUAAGGGGAAAUAAAAAAAAUUUUAGCCCUCUGAAGAGAUUUUUU
rnacentral:lncRNA from 1 species